rnacentral:lncRNA from 1 species
AGCAGCUGCGCAUAAGCCAGAAGUGGGGUCCCCUGGCAAAGCCUUGCAGCUGGGACUUUCCUCUGUGAGCACCCCUUGCAUGCUGCAUACAACGCACACCUGCCAGGGGACACAGUGUGACAUACACUCCUCCACCAAGCCUCCAUAUUCCUGCCUGGAGAGGCAGUGCUGCAGGGGCACACUGGGCUAUUCCUUCCAACACUGUUAAAUUGUAGUAUUUGGAGAACAGCAGUAAACACUAACAGGUCAUACCAAACACUGUGACACCACAUAACUUUGAACAUCAUCCACAGAUCAGUACAGGGCAUGUGACAUCCAGUUACUGAGUUUUUUUUUACUGAAGGCCGUAGAAUUAACAUGAUUCACAUUAAUUAUGGAUCUGAGGGUUUGUUUUUCUUCUUUCCAUUUCAAUUAUCAGAAAAUGGUGUUUCAGCUGCCACCAUGAGGAUAGCAGCAACACUAGUCACAAUGGAAAGUGCAGCAACAACUGCAGAGCAGCAAGGUCCUAGGCUCCAACAAGUGAGAAUUUGUUCAAAUACAGCAGCCAUAGGCACAGAAAUAAAGGAAAGAAGCUGCUUACCUUUGGAAGGCUUCAGGUACGCAGGAACCUCCAGCAAGAUACCCACACUUCCAGUGCCAACCCUUAAAUGCGAUCUGGGAAGGGAUGGAUCCUGGCUCCACUCCUUCUAAUCACUUGCACCUGAGCUCCUCUGGGCUGGCCCUGCCCUCCCACCAGGUGCUCAAUCACUGGUUCAAAGCCAUGACUUAGCAAUUCCACUACACUAAUACACUCAGAAUUGACUGAGUGGUGGCCUGUUGUCUGUAAACUAACAUUAGGGUGUAGAAAUAACACCCUUUUGAAGCAUACUGCAAGUUUUGAAUAAAUUUUAAAGGUUUUUCUCUUAUACCAGGUAAUCAGUGUAUUUAUUUCUCUGCCAGCAGCUGCUUAGGCAGGCCCCAUGCUCAAUGGAAAGCUUUUAAAAGGCAUGCUACUGAUCUCCAGCCGCAUUUCUCUGGCAUGUCCUCCCCACUGCAAAGUUUUACUUACUCAGAAAUAAAGUUUCGAUAACUAUACCAAUGGACACCAGGCCCAGAAUCGCCAGUGCUCAACACUGCUAUUUUAAGAAAAGUUCUUGGAGGGGUCUGCACAGGCACUUAGACAAAGCUAAGACUUCAGUUCCUCUCUCUGCCCAGAAGUUCAAUUGUGCACACCUGCCCAAGUGCCUGAAGUGAUGAAGACUCCACACCUGAAAACCCACUUCUCAAAUCCAGCCUCAGCACCGACGCCAGAUUCUGCUCACAAGCAGGCCAAAUUUAAGAACUACAAAUAUCAGCCAAGGAGAGCUGAAUGCCUUUCAUUUAGAACACUGUUAGCAUAUGCUGCCAAAGUUUCUAUCUUCUCAGCAUAUAAAAAUUGCACUGAUUUUUCUGUAGCAAUACAGUGAAAGAUACAGAGUCCAGUGUGUCCACUGAUCUACUGCUCACCUUCUUGCGAGUGCAGACAUGGCUUUGUUCACACAACUGUCUUCAGGCCAGCAUACCACAUCUGUAAGCUCAGUACAGACAACCCCCCAUAGCACUAGUAAUUUUCGUCCAUGGUUGUAGCUGUCAUGCUGUGUAGCUGUACCAGGAAGAUGCCACGUGCUUAUCUAGAACUGCAAUAAGAAUAUGAAAGCCAUGCGUAUCUUAAGCAUAUUAGAGAACCAGGCUGUGUUAUGGGUAAGGAGUCAGAGUGAAUCUAUUCAUGGCCCAUUUCACUAUCUUCCCCUCAAGUUCUUCUUCGAGAAGGAGCAGUUUCUCUUCCUCUCCUUAAUGACAUUUUUCUUUGGACAGAAGUCCAUUGCCCCUCUCCUACCUUGCCCUUUUGCUUAUUUCUUGAAACAAAGAUACAAGUUUCCAGUAAGCCCAGAGCAGAAGGGGCAUGUGUGAGCCCGGCUCGCACUCCUCAACUUCCCGUUUCAGUGCAGAUUCUUGCAGGGCUAUUCUGGGACUGCCAGAGCAGUGCAGCAGAAAAUCAUCAAACAUUCGGGGGAAUCCCCUUCUGUCACUUUUAUUAUUCUGACAAAAAGAUUAGCGAUGAUGUGUCUUCUUAGACACGGUAGGGCAGCAAGGUGUUCUCUAUUUUAAGUAAAGGCAGGAAAUGAGUAAUAGAUUUCCUCUGCAGCCAAACUGGGGCUUCAGCCUGCCUGGCUGAAAGAGCUUUAGCCUCUCAGAUCUCACCUUUACGCUAAAUGAGGAACAGCAGCAAUCCCCACUACUAAAAUUAAAAACCAUUUAUGACCUGUGAAUGGUAUCCUGUACCUCAGUAAGGAGCAGCCUGACCUGGCCAGCUGGGAAAGAGACACAAAGAAGGGUUUACACACAGCGAGGACAAGGCCCCACCACUCUCAUACAGACAGAAAAUAGAAUCAUCUUCGUAAAAGAAUAAAUAAAAAACUAACAACAAUCACAAAACAAGACGCUAAACUACAGAAAUAACCCCAACUUUCAGUUACAGCCCUAAAACGUCAUCUGGACUUUUGGUUUCUGUGUACAUCACGGUGAAUCAUAAUGUAUUGAUAUAUGAAAAAUGGUCACAACUGCAUGAGGAGAGCAUGAUACACAGCUCAUGGUGCCAUGAAAAAUGUUGUUAACAUGGGAUUACAUUCCCACCCUCGGCCUAUUAAUUUCAUCUAAACCACAGAAACAGCUAUCAAGAUUGAUUUUGCUUGCAAGAGUUCCCCUGUGGCAAAGAUUAUUCUUCCAUUGUAUUAUUCUGUGGGAUCUGCUCUUUCAUUAUGAUGGUAGGACUGCACUCAAAACUUACCAAUCAAAUGGUCACAUGCUUGGAUUUUUUUUAUUACUUGUUAUCCAACUCUCUCUUAACAAGUAAAAUGCUUUGAAACAAAUACAUCACGGACAGCAAUGGCUACAGUACACAGUUAACAUGAUUGCAAUGAAAGGAAAGCAAAAAGAUAUGCAGGAGAAUGGAUUGAAGGCAGAGGGAUAGAUCACUAAGAAUACCAAGUCCAUCAUUUGUAUCUUGUUAGGAAAUACACAUAGCUUCUAUGAAAAUCUAACAGGUAAGUACAAAGAAUGUGUCUUCCAGAACAUGGCUGUAAACUCCUCCAGCUAGGACCAGUAUGCUACCCAAAGACCACAGAGGGACCAUAAACCCAAAGCAGCUUGCAACGAGGUGUGCUCAGGGCCGCCACUCUGCACGUGUGUUGAACAGCACUAUCAAGUGCCACAAAGUGUAAGGAAGUUUUCUCUGGUACACUUCUACCAGCAGGUCCAGUUAAGGCAAGGGACAACUUGGAACCUCAAUUCUUACCUACAAGAAGAAGGAAAAAAGACCAAUUUCCCACUUAAUAUGCAGUACCCAAAGUGAAUCAGAUGCAGGCAGCCAUGACUCCCAUCUUAAGAAACCACAGAAGAACAGAAAAUUUAAAAUGUAGAACUCCAUAAAAGGAAUGUACCAUGCUAACAAAAUCAACCAGAAAGGGCACAGGGGAAAUUUAGACGGCGAAGAAGGAAUCUGAAAAGUACAUGUUUGGAGUGGUUAAAAAAAGAAAGAAAAAGGAUAUGCCAGCCUUCAAUUAGAUUUAAAUAUUGAAAACAUUUCCUUUUCCCAAUGACAAAACAAAUUUCAAGAAACGUGUUAGUCUGACCAUCUUGAAUUUAAAAGAAAUUAAAAAGCAGGAAGAAAAAGGAAAACAAUUGAAAAUGUAAAGAAUUGAAAAUUACAAUCUUGCUUAAAAUUUCAACCUCUGGACCUAAAGGAGAGUCCAAAUGCAUUUCAUGAUCAUUUUUCAGAACGCUGAUAUCCAGAGAAGGCAAGGAAGGGUACUCUUUCCUCUGUUAAGUGCAGUUGGCAAAAACAAAUGAAGACAAAAGAAAACAGAGAACUCCUCCCCAUGCAUAAUGGAAGAGGAAAUGGUGAAGAAAUAAGUUGCUUAUUUGGGGACCUGCAUCUUUUGAGCAUCUUUCUGACAGCUGUUGUACUCACCACUAACAUUCAAGACUAACCUCUACUAAGGCAGCGGUAGAUUGCAUAUGGGGCUCAUCGUAAGACUUUCAUGCUGGGGAUUUCCAGGCAUUCAGCCUUUGGCACGGUUCAUCUGCUCCUGAGGUAAAUGAGAGCCAUAGUGUUUUUAAUUCCACAGCAGCAGAGAGAAAGAAUUUUUGUAAAUUCUGGAGGAAAGAAAAGGUUGUGCCUUACAUGGGCACCCCAUCAUACAGAAUUGUUUUCUCAGCUUAAAACAACAGGAAAACGAGGAUGCAUUCUAACGUAUAAUAAUACCCACUAGGCAUACCUUUUAGCCAUACAUGUUUUCUUUUAAUGGUCCUAUUUUCAAACCAUACUUUUGCCAUAACUAGUGGAGGCAGAAAUAUCUUUCAAAUUCAUUAAAGGCAAGAAAGUAAAUUCUGAGAUGAUGUUAUCAAAAGCUGUCACAGCCGAUUUAAUUUUGCUGGCAUGGAGGUCAAUGGAGAUUUCAACACCAACCGCAGACACUGAGGAUUUCAAUGGACGGCAAGGACUUUUUUGAAAAGUAUAUGAAAUACAUUCAGUAGCACCCACCUUUCUCCAAGCAGUCCUACAGGGGUUAGGGAGUUAACAGAGUGCGUUGCCACUCAGUUUGUAUUACAGUAGCACAGCCUGGCUCGGAGCAAAUUAAUACUAAACGAUAAUUCUUGGUUCAGAAUUCAUUAUACAGAAGGUUCAAAAUAAAACAAAAAAGUCUAAACGUAGCCUUUUACAGUUGUGAAUAUUUAAAAUCACAUUUAGUAAAGCUGCAUGGGUUAAAGCAAAUAAUAAUAAUCCCAAUUAAACUAAAUAAAAUUCGUCAGCACGGAAAGAAAACAAAUCCAAACUCCUGACAGCAACAUAAAACCAGAAUUCUGCCCACUCCCUUCAUAAUGGCUCUUCUAUUGAGCUUCAUUCUGACCUUUCAUUACUUUCCCAACAUUGAAGAACAUUGCCUUUCAACACUCAUGUCUUUGCUACCCCCCGCCUUUAUUCCUGCCUCUAUUGUUAAGAGCUAUUAGCUGCUGCUGUUCCGAGGUGCACAGUGGUGUUGUACCUUAAAAGAGGCAAGAACAGCAGUACUUUGAGGGAAAAAAAAGUGUAGAAAUGUUUCCUACUUUCCCUUCUAGAGACCAAAGUUACAUUUGAGUAUAAAAUUAAAUAAUAAAGUAGCUAAAUGAAUAAAUAAUGGUUAAUAAAUACCCCAAGAGACUGAAAGGCAUGAAAUCAAUUUUGUGCUGGAAGGGAUGAAAAAGGACACUUUUAUAUGACUUGACUGAGCUUAAAUAGACAUUGUCCUGAUCCUGUAAUUGUUCCAUGCUCAGAACAUCUAUUGAAUUCAAUGGGAGCUCCAAAACCAGAUCAAUUAGAGGAUCAGAGUUGUUUGGGAAAAGCCUGCCCAUCACUUUGAGAAAACAAACCAGAGAGACACUGAAGAAUGUAAGCCCAUAAGUAGACUAUAAGAUUGAACAAAUGAGGCUAUGCAAAUCCUACACUCCAUAAAGCAGCACACAAGCAACUCUAAUGAUACCUCUUAAAAAUCAAGUCUUGCUCACAGUCAAGAGGGGUUUUCUUGCCAUCUUCAAUGUGAGUAUGAGCUUUAAUGCGAGUAUGACCAGGCUUCAGGAAGAGAAGUCAAGGCACUAACACAACGUUAGGGUUACUAACCAAUUUGCACUACAGGUCUUAGACUCUGGAUCCACACAGAGCAGCCCUUUGCACCACCAGAGAGCCUGUCAGAGCAUAGCUCUGCUCUGAAGCAGAGGUGAAACUAGGGUUCCAAUCCAGGGCAACUCAGAGCAGCAUACAAACAGCAGCACUAUCCAGGCCUGCAGCUGGGUCCUGGUGGACAAAGCACCAUGCUGUCACGCAACCCCGCUGCUCUGGGUUCUGCAGAAGCACAGAGACCUCUCAGUGCACGGCUGAGACCCAUAAUUCCUAAUAAAUACCUUAAAAGCUACUUUAAAAUAAGAAUUGUAAGGGAUCAUUUAUUUUAAAAAGCAUGCAGCUUUUCUGCUUGUCAUUUACAAAUUGCAUCUCAACCCACAUUGUUAAUCCUUUGUCAGUAUUCCCUGGUUCCCUGUUAGUUUUGUGUCAGCUUUACACAGCAGGAGAGCCUCAUGAAGCCUCACCUAGCUUCAUGUGAAGGUCUCAGUGGAACGGCACCCACACAACACAACCUGUACACACUUCAGCACAACACUGAGCAGUCCAAUGUACACUGUGCACUCUAAAGCAGGCUCUAACUUCAGCAGUCAAGAUCACUAUUGACUUUACGAUGACAGUCAUUCCUGCAAACAGAAGCCUAAUAAUAAAAUACGGUGAUGAUAUUUAGCACAUUUAUUUUUUUAACGGCAAUGCAAGUUACCAGGUAGCUCAAAGCUUGUUCAUCUUUAAGUGGCAUAUUCUUAUCAUGUAGAGCAUCAACAGUUCAGCUACACUCUGUAUUUCACACAGCUAUGUGAAACAGAUUUCAAAAAGAUUUCAAGGGGCUCCAUGAAGAGUCAUGCAAGAGCUGAAAAAGGGCCCAUCUAUUCCCCAUCCUCUGGUGAUAACUAGGAGGCCAUACCCAGCAAGCAACUACGGAACAGUCAAACAUAGUAUGUUGUCCAGCAUAGAUUCUCAACUGCUUACAACCUAUAGCUCACAGACUUGGCAAGUGUCCCAAAACAGAGCUUUCCUGCAUCUGAGUAUUUAACAGCCCUGAGGGACUUUUCUUCCAUUCACUUGUUUUAUUGCUUUGUAAUAUAUUCUAUAUCCAUAUCCUCCUGCAGCACAGAGUUUCACAAUUGCAUAAGAAAAAUUCUUGCCCCUACUGGGCUUCAAAGCAGACAACUACAGCUGUGCCAUUAGAGACAGAAUAAAGCCCCAUAAUGGGGUUUCCCCAACGUCUCUUCUUUGUAUGUCAGCCCAAAAGCUGUCACUCACAGCUCCUGCCGGGCAGUUCCUCCCACCACCACCAGCUACGGGCUCCACAUACUCCUCCUCAGCCACUAAGAUGCAGAAAACCAGUUCACACAUGUGGCUGCCUUCCCCAGGAAGUGAAUCCUACAGCCAGAACCUGAGUUUCCAUCCAAUUGACUUCCAAACAAAAAUGUCUCUUCCAGUUACCUCAGACACUAGAAUUAGGAGAAAAAAACUCACAACUAAAGUAUUUUUAAGAAGAUGCUUCGUUUUCACAAUUCCUUCCGUAGGAUCACUGCAAAAUUCCAGUCAGAAAAAGCCCAGCAGGCCACUGGUCCCACCACCUGCUCAAAGCAGGGUCAGCUCAGACCAAAGCAGGGCAAGCAGGGACCCAAAGCAAAAGCCAGUAUAUCCCUGAAAGAGUUUACUCCUUUUGAAGCUCAGUCUCACGUUCUGUCUAAAUCUUUAGGACAGCUACUGAUGCUUGUAUGACAGGGUGCCCCAGUGAGAAGUAAACUAAGCUGCAGCCAGCUCAGUGCUUCGCUCUGGCUCCCCUCACAACCAUCAAGCACUAGAGAGGAGGUGUGACCACCCUACACACCACGACAGCCCGCAGAGAGCCACUCUGAAGUCAUUACACAGGCACUAUUUGAGCCUUCCCUUUUAGUUCACUGAUUCUAAAACAGAUUAGUAGUUGGCAACUAUGUUAAGACAUCGUCGCUUCGUAGACACCUCCCAAUAAAAACAAACCUCAGGAUAACUAAUUCAAGAACCACUUACUAUUCACCGCUACCAUACACAGACUCUUGAAGUAGUCCACAACCAUUCAGUGUUUUCAGCUGAAAAUGUUAGGAAAACAACUCCCAAAACAAGACCAUACCUUGG